GCCCUGGUGGUGAAAGGGACAUCAUGCCUCGGUCCUAACGAGGGGUUCCAGGUUCAAGUCCUGGCCGGGGUGCCG
rnacentral:tRNA from 1 species